GCCGGCAUAGCUCAGCAGGUAGAGCAGCGCACUCGUAAGGCGAAGGUCGUAGGUUCGAUUCCUAUUGCCGGCA
rnacentral:tRNA from 1 species